rnacentral:rRNA from 1 species
GGGGAAUUUUGGACAAUGGGCGCAAGCCUGAUCCAGCCAUGCCGCGUGUCUGAAGAAGGCCUUCGGGUUGUAAAGGACUUUUGUCAGGGAAGAAAAGACUGUUGCCAAUAUCGACAGCUGAUGACGGUACCUGAAGAAUAAGCACCGGCUAACUACGUGCCAGCAGCCGCGGUAAUACGUAGGGUGCGAGCGUUAAUCGGAAUUACUGGGCGUAAAGCGAGCGCAGACGGUUACUUAAGCAGGAUGUGAAAUCCCCGGGCUCAACCUGGGAACUGCGUUCUGAACUGGGUAACUAGAGUGUGUCAGAGGGAGGUAGAAUUCCACGUGUAGCAGUGAAAUGCGUAGAGAUGUGGAGGAAUACCGAUGGCGAAGGCAGCCUCCUGGGAUAACACUGACGUUCAUGCUCGAAAGCGUGGGUAGCAAACAGGAUUAGAUACCCUGGUAGUCCACGCCCUAAACGAUGUCAAUUAGCUGUUGGGCAACUUGAUUGCUUAGUAGCGUAGCUAACGCGUGAAAUUGACCGCCUGGGGAGUACGGUCGCAAGAUUA